rnacentral:sRNA from 1 species
AAUCAACAAAGAGAUGUUAUGUAACUUCUAUUUAUAUUCU